AACCCAUGCAAAAUAUGCUGAUCCUGGUUGUUCCCGUGAUGAAGAUGAUGGUGAGGACGAACCAGAAGAGGUAGCUGAAGAUGAUCACUUUGGACAUGUCCAAGGGCAGAGAACCUCGUAUUCAACGUUGGACUAUCCACUGAAGCAUUUUGCAAAAUGUGUGCCAAGGCCUCUGCAUACCACUGCCUGCUGCCUAAGAAAGCCCUGCAUAACCAGCACUAGACUAAUAGUCACCCAGAUGAUGUACGACGAGACGAUCUUGACGAUGUGCAGCUCCAGGAUCCACCACAUAAACACCUGCAACUUGUGAAAAUACUCC